GGAAGUCGAAACUGGCCUAUUGAAAACAAUCAUCAAAAAAUGCGCCUGAAGCAAUUUGAGAAAAUCAAACUCUGGAAGGCUACACACAGGUCUAUGGUAGUGGAAUGCGACUGGGAGGUCCACGAUGUUAUGAGCCAACCACCGUAACAGAGGACAGAAAGAAGUGCAGCGGUAGAAGAAUGUGGAAGUUACCGUUCAGUGAACGUGUUAACGACGAUGGGAACUGUGGUGUCCAAGAAAUUUCUUAAGUGUGUGUUUUGUAGGUACACGCGUCUCAAGGAGAAGACUGAAAACGUGGUUGCUCUUUGGAAAACUAAUAGUCGCAUGUGAAAGAAUGACAAGCUUUGUUGUGAAGUGACUUGUUACGAUGCUCCAAAUAUGCAGCUAGUUUUGUGCCUCAGCUGUGACUCGUAGACGUCUGAAACAAACGAGACUUAAAUUCUGUUCAAAGACUACUCAGAUAAUGAAGGUACAUCUUGUUCAUUAGAUUCCUGAUACUAAUUGUGUAUCUCACGUUAAAUCUAAUCUUCAGAGUGUGAUUAAUAUGAAUGUUUACAAUGGUCCAAUGCUCUAUCGAAGAUGAAGUUACCAUCGCCAAUGACGUAUAGGAGGAGAUGUUGUAAUGUUAGGUUUUGCAAAUUCUCCUUGUUACAGAUAUCCUGGUGUUUUGAGGGUCAUUGAUUCCUUUUGGGCUCCUGUCGUGCAACCGCUGUCUCACUAUCAAUGAAUCUGCUCUAUAUGGGACAAAUCAUUAUAAUCGAAUUAGUAAUGUAUGGCACCCAAAAAUGAAUACCUUAGAAGGAUAGUCUUUUCAAAGCCCAUUUAAUUUACAAGUCCACUUGAUUUUAAGUUCAAUAGGCAAUGAGCUGGUGGCGAGACUGAACUUUUGAAGGGAAGGUAGCAAAGAAUAGCCUCAACAGUAAUCACUCUGCCAUCCACUAGGUGCAGCUGAAGGUAGCAUCGUAAAACUUAAAUCGCUGUAGUAGCUUGAGUAUGUACUUAAAUAUGCUUACUUGCAAGCUCGUUAACGUAUAAAAACAAGUCAUGUUAAUACAGUAUGAAGAUUUUCACCUGUCUGUAUUGCAUAAAUGAUACGAAAAUAUUUCGAGCUAAUAUAGACGCUCUCUCAGAUUGUUGACAUGAAACCAUUUCCGGCAGCCCAUUUAGAGCGUUAGUUAUAUUACUAACUGAUCACCACUACUAAACAUGUUGGACUUCGCUCUCUAGAGAAACACAGUUUUCAGUGGACCAUAUUACCUGAGAAAGGCAUUUGCAUU